AGUGGCAGACGGGUGAGUAACGCGUGGGACCAUACCCUUUUCUACGGAAUAGCUCUGGGAAACUGGAAUUAAUACCGUAUACGCCCUACGGGGGAAAGAUUUAUCGGGGAAGGAUUGGCCCGCGUUGGAUUAGCUAGUUGGUGGGGUAAAGGCCUACCAAGGCGACGAUCCAUAGCUGGUCUGAGAGGAUGAUCAGCCACAUUGGGACUGAGACACGGCCCAAACUCCUACGGGAGGCAGCAGUGGGGAAUAUUGGACAAUGGGCGCAAGCCUGAUCCAGCCAUGCCGCGUGAGUGAUGAAGGCCUUAGGGUUGUAAAGCUCUUUCACCGAUGAAGAUAAUGACGGUAGUCGGAGAAGAAGCCCCGGCUAACUUCGUGCCAGCAGCCGCGGUAAUACGAAGGGGGCUAGCGUUGUUCGGAAUUACUGGGCGUAAAGCGCACGUAGGCGGAUAUUUAAGUCAGGGGUGAAAUCCCAGAGCUCAACUCUGGAACUGCCUUUGAUACUGGGUAUCUUGAGUAUGGAA
rnacentral:rRNA from 1 species